GAUGAAGAACGUAGCGAAAUGCGAUAAGUAAUGUGAAUUGCAGAAUUCAGAGAAUCAUCGAAUCUUUGAACGCACAUUGCGCCCCCUGGUAUUCCGGGGGGCAUGCCUGUUCGAGCGUCAUUUCACCACUCAAGCCUCGCUUGGUAUUGGGCAACGCGGUCCGCCGCGUGCCUCAAAUCGACCGGCUGGGUCUUCUGUCCCCUAAGCGUUGUGGAAACUAUUCGCUAAAGGGUGUUCGGGAGGCUACGCCGUAAAACAACCCCAUUUCUAAGGUUGACCUCGGAUCAGGUAGGGAUACCCGCUGAACUUAAGCAUAUCAAUAAGCGGAGGA
rnacentral:misc_RNA from 1 species